AGGCAGCAGUGAGGAAUAUUGGUCAAUGGGCGCUAGCCUGAACCAGCCAAGUAGCGUGAAGGAUGACUGCCCUAUGGGUUGUAAACUUCUUUUAUAUGGGAAUAAAGUGCAGUAUGUAUACUGCUUUGCAUGUACCUUAUGAAUAAGGAUCGGCUAACUCCGUGCC
rnacentral:rRNA from 1 species